GUUAGGUUGGUUAAGUGUUGUAACACGCAUCUUGCUCUUCAUGUAGCAACCGUUGGUUUCAAUGUACUACAUGAUUGCCUUUUCGAGAAUGAGAAUAUAUGUGUGGUGCUGUGUUUUUAUUUUUGCCGCACUACCGUCCAUUAUAAGUAAACGGAGACACCACAAAAUGAUAGCAGUAUGGCAGUGGUUGAUUGUGGCGGAGCCAGAAAAAUUAUGAAGCCUGGGCAAAAAUUUAAAGACCGUAAAUUCACAUUGUGUGUUCAUCACAAUGUUUCAAAAGAGAUUCUACAAAUUAUUUUAGUAAAAAUUGAUUGUUCUUAUAUUUUAGUUAAUACACUAAUAAAAACUUUUCAUACAAGCAACAUGAACCCAUAAAUUCUGUAUUACCAUAUUUCUUAGUUGAGUAUCACCAUCAUCAUUACCAAAUUUUCUGACAAAUGUCUCCAAAUUCUGAGUCAGCAUAGAUGGAUUUUUUGCACAGAAACAAGAUACAAGACUGUUAGUCACAUGAACUGUAAUAUAUUUUUUGUUACUUGUCACCAUCUUAUCAUUCAAAUUUUAAAGAAUAAUAUAUGAAUUUACAUUACUGAGUGAAUUCAUAAUC